GCGCUCCGGGCUUCUCUGCCUGCGUGCUCGGGGAGGAGUCUGGGCGCGCUUAUGCUCGGGAGGAGUUUGAGAAUGCGGCCGAGCUUCUCUCGGCCCUUUUUCGAUUGCGAGCUUACUCGAGUCUCCCGCCUGCCGCUCUCUCACGGUCUCCUCAUCCUUCAUUUUGAAGGCUUCUUCUGCUCGAGCGUACCCUUCAGCCUGAGCCAAC
rnacentral:lncRNA from 1 species